rnacentral:tmRNA from 1 species
GGGGGUGAACAGGGUUCGACGGGAAUGAUAGAUGUAAUGACAACAGGUCGGAGUUGGUCGAUGGCUCCGAAAAAAUCGACCGAAAAAUAAAUAACGAUAACAUCGUUUCAAUGCGGAACUUUAAACCUUCUACAGGUUUUGGAGUAAUGCCGAUGGCUGCUUAAUGCAGCUUCGUUUUACCUUAGACACCUGCUAUGAGGAUAAAACGACAAGAGCAGGUUAGUUUUAAACGGCUUGUACCGUCAGUUUGAAAUAAAAUUAAAACGGUGCUGGUUUAUAACGUAAUCCCGUUCGGAGAUGGCGUUGUAAAUAAGAUAAAUAAUUCCGAACUAAGCCUGUAGCGGUCUUACUGAAACAUUUUCGGACGCGGGUUCAACUCCCGCCACUUCCAUAA